rnacentral:rRNA from 1 species
UACGAAGGGGCUAGCGUUGCUCGGAAUCACUGGGCGUAAAGCGCACGUAGGCGGAUUGCUAAGUCAGGGUGAAAUCCUGGAGCUCAACUCCAGAACUGCCCUUGAUACUGGCGGUCUCGAGUCCGGGAGAGGUGAGUGGAACUGCGAGUGUAGAGGUGAAAUUCGUAGAUAUUCGGAAGAACACCAGUGGCGAAGGCGGCUCACUGGUCCGGUACUGACGCUGAUGGUGCGAAAGCG